GUGCAGCAGUCGAGAAUUUUUCUCAAUGGGGGCAACCCUGAAGGAGCGACGCCGCGUGGAGGAUGAAGGCUUUCGGGUCGUAAACUCCUGUCAUUUGAGAACAAGUGCCAACAAGUAACUACUGUUGGCUUGAUAGUAUCAGAAGAGGAAGGGACGGCUAACUCUGUGCCAGCAGCCGCGGUAAUACAGAGGUCCCAAGCGUUGUUCGGAUUCAUUGGGCGUAAAGGGUGCGUAGGUGGCGCCGUCAGUGGGGUGUGAAAUUCCGGAGCUUAACUCCGAAACUGCAUUCCAUACUGCGGUGCUUGAGGACUGGAGAGGAGACUGGAAUUCAUGGUGUAGCAGUGAAAUGCGUAGAGAUCAUGAGGAAGACCAGUGGCGAAGGCGGGUCUCUGGACAGUUCCUGACACUGAGGCACGAAGGCUAGGGGAGCGAACGGGAUUA
rnacentral:rRNA from 1 species